rnacentral:rRNA from 1 species
AGUGAACGCUGGCGGUAGGCCUAACACAUGCAAGUCGAACGGCAGCACAGUAAGAGCUUGCUCUUACGGGUGGCGAGUGGCGGACGGGUGAGGAAUACAUCGGAAUCUACUUUUUCGUGGGGGAUAACGUAGGGAAACUUACGCUAAUACCGCAUACGACCUACGGGUGAAAGCAGGGGAUCUUCGGACCUUGCGCGAUUGAAUGAGCCGAUGUCGGAUUAGCUAGUUGGCGGGGUAAAGGCCCACCAAGGCGACGAUCCGUAGCUGGUCUGAGAGGAUGAUCAGCCACACUGGAACUGAGACACGGUCCAGACUCCUACGGGAGGCAGCAGUGGGGAAUAUUGGACAAUGGGCGCAAGCCUGAUCCAGCCAUACCGCGUGGGUGAAGAAGGCCUUCGGGUUGUAAAGCCCUUUUGUUGGGAAAGAAAAGCAGCAGGUUAAUACCCCGCUGUUCUGACGGGACCCAGAAUAAGCACCGGCUAACUUCGUG